GUGGGGAAUUUUGGACAAUGGGGGCAACCCUGAUCCAGCCAUGCCGCGUGCGGGAAGAAGGCCUUCGGGUUGUAAACCGCUUUUGUCAGGGAAGAAAUCCUUUGGGUUAAUACCUCGGAGGGAUGACGGUACCUGAAGAAUAAGCACCGGCUAACUACGUGCCAGCAGCCGCGGUAAUACGUAGGGUGCGAGCGUUAAUCGGAAUUACUGGGCGUAAAGCGUGCGCAGGCGGUUUUGUAAGAUCGAUGUGAAAUCCCCGGGCUCAACCUGGGAACUGCCUGGGUGACUGCAAGGCUGGAGUGCGGCAGAGGGGGAUGGAAUUCCGCGUGUAGCAGUGAAAUGCGUAGAUAUGCGGAGGAACACCGAUGGCGAAGGCAAUCCCCUGGGCCUGCACUGACGCUCAUGCACGAAAGCGUGGGGAACAAACAGGAUUAGAUACCCGAGUAGUCC
rnacentral:rRNA from 1 species